rnacentral:rRNA from 1 species
GCGCGAGUUCAGACUCGCAGCAGAUAGCUCAGUAACACGUGGUCAAGCUACCCUGCAGAGACGAAUAACCUCGGGAAACUGAGGCUAAUACGUCAUACCGAUCCCAGGCUGGAACAGCCGGGAUCUCGAAACGCUCCGGCGCUGCAGGAUGCGGCUGCGGCCGAUUAGGUAGACGGUGGGGUAACGGCCCACCGUGCCGAUAAUCGGUACGGGUUGUGAGAGCAAGAGCCCGGAGACGGAAUCUGAGACAAGAUUCCGGGCCCUACGGGGCGCAGCAGGCGCGAAACCUUUACACUGCACGCAAGUGCGAUAAGGGGACUCCGAGUGCGAGGGCAUAUAGUCCUCGCUUUUGAGAACCGUAAGAAGGUUCUCGAAUAAGAGCUGGGCAAGACCGGUGCCAGCCGCCGCGGUAAUACCGGCAGCUCAAGUGAUGGCCAAUCUUAUUGGGCCUAAAGCGUCCGUAGCUGGUCGGGAAAGUUCGUCGGGAAAUCCAUCCGCUCAACGGAUGGGCGUCCGGCGAAAACUUCUCGACUUGGGACCGGAAGGCUCGAGGGGUACGUCCGGGGUAGGAGUGAAAUCCUGUAAUCCUGGACGGACCGC